UCACGUAUCCACGUAUAAACCAUCGUGAACUGUACCCCCUUUGGGGAGAAUAGAUGAGUGUGGAGGUAAGCACAUGGGACUCUUUCUUGUGAUUUAAAGUCUCGCUUAACUCUGCCCUGGGUCCUUUUCUUCGGAAAAGGCUCACGUCCAUUCUCUCUGAAGCGUAUUUUUAAAUCGCACUUGUUUAUUAACAAUUUGAACA
rnacentral:misc_RNA from 1 species